UACAGAGGGGGCAAGCGUUGUUCGGAAUUACUGGGCGUAAAGGGCGCGUAGGCGGCCUUCUAAGUCGAACGUGAAAUCCCUGGGCUCAACCCAGGAACUGCGUCCGAUACUGGAAGGCUUGAAUCCGGGAGAGGGAUGCGGAAUUCCAGGUGUAGCGGUGAAAUGCGUAGAUAUUACAAGGAACACCAAUGGCGAAGGCAGCUUGCUGGGCCUUUUCUGACGCUGAGGUACGAAAGCGUGGGGAGCGAACAGG
rnacentral:rRNA from 1 species